UGCCAGACUCCUACGGGAGGCAGCAGUGGGGGAUAUUGCACAAUGGGGGGAACCCUGAUGCAGCGACGCCGCGUGGGUGAAGAAGCGCCUCGGCGCGUAAAGCCCUGUCAGCAGGGAAGAAAAUGACGGUACCUGAAGAAGAAGCCCCGGCUAACUACGUGCCAGCAGCCGCGGUAAUACGUAGGGGGCAAGCGUUAUCCGGAUUUACUGGGUGUAAAGGGGGCGCAGACGGCGAUGCAAGCCAGGAGUGAAAGCCCGGGGCCCAACCCCGGGACUGCUCUGGAAACUGCGUUGCUAGAUUGCGGGAGAGGCAAGUGGAAUUCCUAGUGUAGCGGUGAAAUGCGUAGAUAUUAGGAGGAACACCAGUGGCGAAGGCGGCUUGCUGGACCGUGAAUGACGCUGAGGCUCGAAAGCGUGGGGAGCAAACAGGAUUAGAUACCCCCGUA
rnacentral:rRNA from 1 species